rnacentral:rRNA from 1 species
UUAAAUUGAAGAGUUUGAUCAUGGCUCAGAUUGAACGCUGGCGGCAGGCCUAACACAUGCAAGUCGAACGGUAACAGGAAGAAGCUUGCUUCUUUGCUGACGAGUGGCGGACGGGUGAGUAAUGUCUGGGAAACUGCCUGAUGGAGGGGGAUAACUACUGGAAACGGUAGCUAAUACCGCAUAACGUCGCAAGACCAAAGAGGGGGACCUUCGGGCCUCUUGCCAUCGGAUGUGCCCAGAUGGGAUUAGCUAGUAGGUGGGGUAACGGCUCACCUAGGCGACGAUCCCUAGCUGGUCUGAGAGGAUGACCAGCCACACUGGAACUGAGACACGGUCCAGACUCCUACGGGAGGCAGCAGUGGGGAAUAUUGCACAAUGGGCGCAAGCCUGAUGCAGCCAUGCCGCGUGUAUGAAGAAGGCCUUCGGGUUGUAAAGUACUUUCAGCGGGGAGGAAGGGAGUAAAGUUAAUACCUUUGCUCAUUGACGUUACCCGCAGAAGAAGCACCGGCUAACUCCGUGCCAGCAGCCGCGGUAAUACGGAGGGUGCAAGCGUUAAUCGGAAUUACUGGGCGUAAAGCGCACGCAGGCGGUUUGUUAAGUCAGAUGUGAAAUCCCCGGGCUCAACCUGGGAACUGCAUCUGAUACUGGCAAGCUUGAGUCUCGUAGAGGGGGGUAGAAUUCCAGGUGUAGCGGUGAAAUGCGUAGAGAU